GACGAACGCUGGCGGCGUGCUUAACACAUGCAAGUCGAACGGUAAGGCCCUUCGGGUACACGAGUGGCGAACGGGUGAGUAACACGUGGUGAUCUGCCCUGCACUUCGGGAUAAGCCUGGGAAACUGGGUCUAAUACCGGAUAGGACUCCUGGCUUCAUGGUUGGGGUGUAAAGCUUUUGCGGUGUGGGAUGGGCCCGCGGCCUAUCAGCUUGUUGGUGGGGUAAUGGCCUACCAAGGCGACGACGGGUAGCCGGCCUGAGAGGGUGACCGGCCACACUGGGACUGAGAUACGGCCCAGACUCCUACGGGAGGCAGCAGUGGGGAAUAUUGCACAAUGGGCGCAAGCCUGAUGCAGCGACGCCGCGUGAGGGAUGACGGCC
rnacentral:rRNA from 1 species